AGAGUUUGAUCCUGGCUCAGGACGAACGCUGGCGGCGUGCUUAACACAUGCAAGUCGAACGGUAAGGCCCUUCGGGGUACACGAGUGGCGAACGGGUGAGUAACACGUGGGUAAUCUGCCCUGCACAUCGGGAUAAGCCUGGGAAACUGGGUCUAAUACCGAAUAGGACCACAGGACACAUGUCCUGUGGUGGAAAGCUUUUGCGGUGUGGGAUGGGCCCGCGGCCUAUCAGCUUGUUGGUGGGGUGAUGGCCUACCAAGGCGACGACGGGUAGCCGGCCUGAGAGGGUGUCCGGCCACACUGGGACUGAGAUACGGCCCAGACUCCUACGGGAGGCAGCAGUGGGGAAUAUUGCACAAUGGGCGAAAGCCUGAUGCAGCGACGCCGCGUGGGGGAUGACGGCCUUCGGGUUGUAAACCUCUUUCACCAUCGACGAAGGUCCGGGUUUUCUCGGGCUGACGGUAGGUGGAGAAGAAGCACCAGCCAACUACGUGCCAGCAGCCGCGGUAAUACGUAGGGUGCGAGCGUUGUCCGGAAUUACUGGGCGUAAAGAGCUCGUAGGUGGUUUGUCGCGUUGUUCGUGAAAUCUCACGGCUUAACUGUGAGCGUGCGGGCGAUACGGGCAGACUUGAGUACUGCAGGGGAGACUGGAAUUCCUGGUGUAGCGGUGGAAUGCGCAGAUAUCAGGAGGAACACCAGUGGCGAAGGCGGGUCCCUGGGCAGUAACUGACGCUGAGGAGCGAAAGCGUGGGGAGCGAACAGGAUUAGAUACCCUGGUA
rnacentral:rRNA from 1 species